rnacentral:antisense_RNA from 14 species
GGAAAUAGUGAGGGGAUUUUUUGGUGCAGCUAUGUCGCCUUAUUAUUUGUUACGAUUGUUUAGCCAAAACGUGAAAAUCGCAACAAUGCAUC